UGGGGAAUAUUGGACAAUGGGCGAAAGCCUGAUCCAGCCAUGCCGCGUGUGUGAAGAAGGUCUUCGGAUUGUAAAGCACUUUAAGUUGGGAGGAAGGGCAUUAACCUAAUACGUUAGUGUUUUGACGUUACCGACAGAAUAAGCACCGGCUAACUCUGUGCCAGCAGCCGCGGUAAUACAGAGGGUGCAAGCGUUAAUCGGAAUUACUGGGCGUAAAGCGCGCGUAGGUGGUUUGUUAAGUUGGAUGUGAAAGCCCCGGGCUCAACCUGGGAACUGCAUUCAAAACUGACUGACUAGAGUAUGGUAGAGGGUCGUGGAAUUUCCUGUGUAGCGGUGAAAUGCGUAGAUAUAGGAAGGAACACCAGUGGCGAAGGCGACCACCUGGACUAAUACUGACACUGAGGUGCGAAAGCGUGGGGAGCAAACA
rnacentral:rRNA from 1 species